AUGGAGCAGAAAAACAGAGGUCGGUUAACACUACAUUACCCACAACACACUGCACACUAUACUACACUACAUUACCCACAACCCACCGGCACACCAUACUACUCAUCUCUGUUUCUAGUGAGCCCUGAAAACAAGCACUGCAAUUCCUCACAAUUCUCAACUGUUGUGUGUAUUUCAGUGCUGAUCCAGAAGCGUCUGAAGAAAGAGAAGAAGAGUAAGAGGAAACUUCAGGAGGCUCUGCAGUUUGAGUGUAAACUGAGAGACCAUGCUGAGCAGACUCUGCAGCAGACUGUAGCGUCAGACAGAGCCCUCUGUGACUCACUGACCCAGGAAGUAGACAACGGUAGCCAAGGUAACGGCAGGACUGACGCAGAGGCAGCGAUACAAGGUACGGCAGCUUCUGAAUGGCUCAUCCUUCCUAGUUGCCUAAAUGUCCGGGUGUUUACGUUGAGUUAAACUAACGCCGUUGGUCUGUGUGGCAGCAAACAAAAUGAUAAACAGUUUUUAAUAGUUAAGUGUUGAGUGGAUAAUACUAUCCUAUCUGUUAUGAUGGUGUUGAGUGGAUAAUACUAUCCUAUCUGUUAUGAAGGUGUUGAGUGUAUUAACUAUUCUAUCUGUUACAGAGGUGUUGAGUGGAUAAUACUAUUCUAUCUGUUAUGGAGGUGUUGAGUGUAUUAACUAUUCUAUCUGUUAUGGAGGUGUUGAGUGGAUAAUACUAUCCUAUCUGUUACAGAGGUGUUGAGUGGAUAAUACUAUCCUAUCUGUUAUGAUGGUGUUGAGUGGAUAAUACUAUCCUAUCUGUUAUGAUGGUGUUGAGUGGAUAAUACUAUCCUAUCUGUUAUGGAGGUGUUGAGUGGAUAAUACUAUCCUAUCUGUUAUGGAGGUGUUGAGUGUAUAAUACUAUCCUAUCUGUUAUGGAGGUGUUGAGUGGAUAAUACUAUCCUAUCUGUUAUGGAGGUGUUGAGUGUAUUAACUAUCCUAUCUGUUAUGGAGGUGUUGAGUGGAUAAUACUAUCCUAUCUGUUAUGAUGGUGUUGAGUGGAUAAUACUUUCCUAUCUGUUAUGAUGGUGUUGAGUGGAUAAUACUAUCCUAUCUGUUAUGAUGGUGUUGAGUGGAUAAUACUAUCCUAUCUGUUAUGAUGGUGUUGAGUGGAUAAUACUAUCCUAUCUGUUAUGAAGGUGUUGAGUGUAUUAACUAUCCUAUCUGUUAUGGAGGUGUUGAGUGGAUAAUACUAUCCUAUCUGUUAUGAUGGUGUUGAGUGGAUAAUACUAUCCUAUCUGUUAUGAUGGUGUUGAGUGGAUAAUACUAUCCUAUCUGUUAUGAUGGUGUUGAGUGGAUAAUACUAUCCUAUCUGUUAUGAUGGUGUUGAGUGGAUAAUACUAUCCUAUCUGUUAUGAUGGUGUUGAGUGGAUAAUACUAUCCUAUCUGUUAUGAAGGUGUUGAGUGUAUUAACUAUCCUAUCUGUUAUGGAGGUGUUGAGUGUAUUAACUAUUCUAUCUGUUAUGGAGGUGUUGAGUGUAUUAACUAUCCUAUCUGUUAUGAAGGUGUUGAGUGGAUAAUACUAUUCUAUCUGUUAUGAUGGUGUUGAGUGGAUAAUACUAUCCUAUCUGUUAUGAAGGUGUUGAGUGUAUUAACUAUUCUAUCUGUUAUGAAGGUGUUGAGUGGAUAAUACUAUUCUAUCUGUUAUGGAGGUGUUGAGUGGAUAAUACUAUCCUAUCUGUUAUGAAGGUGUUGAGUGGAUAAUACUAUUCUAUCUGUUAUGGAGGUGUUGAGUGGAUAAUACUAUCCUAUCUGUUAUGAAGGUGUUGAGUGGAUAAUACUAUCCUAUCUGUUAUGGAGGUGUUGAGUGGAUAAUACUAUCCUAUCUGUUACUGAGGUGUUGAGUGGAUAAUACUAUCCUAUCUGUUAUGAAGGUGUUGAGUGGAUAAUACUAUCCUAUCUGUUAUGGAGGUGUUGAGUGGAUAAUACUAUCCUAUCUGUUAUGGAGGUGUUGAGUGGAUAAUACUAUCCUAUCUGUUACAGAGGUGUUGAGUGGAUAAUACUAUCCUAUCUGUUACAGAGGUGUUGAGUGGAUAAUACUAUCCUAUCUGUUAUGGAGGUGUUGAGUGGAUAAUACUAUCCUAUCUGUUAUGGAGGUGUUGAGUGGAUAAUACUAUCCUAUCUGUUAUGAAGGUGUUGAGUGGAUAAUACUAUCCUAUCUGUUACAGAGGUGUUGAGUGGAUAAUACUAUCCUAUCUGUUACAGAGGUGUUGAGUGGAUAAUACUAUCCUAUCUGUUAUGAAGGUGUUGAGUGGAUAAUACUAUCCUAUCUGUUAUGAAGGUGUUGAGUGUAUUAACUAUCCUAUCUGUUAUGAAGGUGUUGAGUGGAUAAUACUAUCCUAUCUGUUAUGAAGGUGUUGAGUGGAUAAUACUAUUCUAUCUGUUAUGGAGGUGUUGAGUGUAUUAACUAUUCUAUCUGUUAUGGAGGUGUUGAGUGGAUAAUACUAUCCUAUCUGUUAUGAAGGUGUUGAGUGGAUAAUACUAUUCUAUCUGUUAUGGAGGUGUUGAGUGUAUUAACUAUCCUAUCUGUUAUGGAGGUGUUGAGUGUAUUAACUAUCCUAUCUGUUACAGAGGUGUUGAGUGUAUAAUACUAUCCUAUCUGUUAUGGAGGUGUUGAGUGUAUUAACUAUCCUAUCUGUUACAGAGGUGUUGAGUGUAUAAUACUAUCCUAUCUGUUAUGGAGGUGUUGAGUGUAUAAUACUAUCCUAUCUGUUAUGGAGGUGUUGAGUGUAUUAACUAUUCUAUCGGUUAUGGAGGUGUUGAGUGUAUAAUACUAUUCUAUCUGUUAUGAAGGUGUUGAGUGGAUAAUACUAUUCUAUCUGUUAUGAAGGUGUUGAGUGGAUAAUACUAUCCUAUCUGUUAUGAAGGUGUUGAGUGGAUAAUACUAUCCUAUCUGUUAUGGAGGUGUUGAGUGGAUAAUACUAUUCUAUCUGUUAUGGAGGUGUUGAGUGGAUAAUACUAUCCUAUCUGUUAUGGAGGUGUUGAGUGUAUUAACUAUUCUAUCUGUUAUGGAGGUGUUGAGUGUAUAAUACUAUCCUAUCUGUUAUGGAGGUGUUUCAGAGCAUUUCAGAUGUUCUCAUUGCUCUGUGUAUCAGAAGGACAGUACACCCCAUCUACCCCCUCUCUCUCUGCUGCAGAGUCCCUCCACAGACCCCAUCUACCCCCCCUCUCUCUCCUGCUCCAGUCCCCAUCUACCCCCUCUCUCUCUCUGCUGCAGAGUCCCUCCACAGACCCCAUCUAACCCCUCUCUCUCUUUCCUGCUCCAGACCCAGACCCCAUCUACCCCCUCUCUC
rnacentral:lncRNA from 1 species